GGUGCUCAGAGAAUAAUUUCAUAUUGGGUGACCGGGGAUUCUGGUGGGCACCAGCGCCCAGAGAGACGAGGGAAAGUUUCCAGGAGAAAGGACACCAGCCUUACACCAAAGCCAAGCACAGCCCAGUUCUCCAUUGCUGCUUCAGGA